GGAUGUAAGGGCGAUCUGUCUGCGACAUCUGUCACCCCAUUGAUUGCGAGGGUUGAUUUGGCUGAUCUGGCUGCCUAGGUGGGUGUCCCCCUCCUCCCUCAUCGAUCCAUGUGCAUCCCUCCCGAAGCUUUGUGCUUGGUCGAAGAGGACGACCUUCCCCCCAGAGGAGAGGACGGGUCUUUGGUCAAGGGUAUACGAGUAGCUGCACUCCCCUGCUAGAACCUCCAAAGAAGCUCUCAAGAAAGUACAGCUGAACUUCCUCCUGA
rfam:Myotis brandtii contig232253, whole genome shotgun sequence.